rnacentral:misc_RNA from 1 species
ACAAACUUGGUCAUUUAGAGGAAGUAAAAGUCGUAACAAGGUUUCCGUAGGUGAACCUGCGGAAGGAUCAUUAAUAAAUUUAUAUAAAAGUUUUCUUCAUUAUUUUAAUGGAGAUUACCCGUAUAAAUGUGCACAAAAAUAGUAAAAAGGUUCUCUUUUAUUCUUUCUUGUCAUAUUUAUUUGACAAGCCAAGAAGAAAGUAACCUUUUUAACUCACUUUUUAAUGAAUUAAUGGCAUUUAAAUUAAAUAUUUGACAAAUUGUCAAUAAAAAUUAUAAUGGAGAAAAACAACUUUUAACAACGGAUCUCUUGGCUCUCCCAUCGAUGAAGAACGCAGC